UGUAUUUUAAAACAAUAGAUUUUGAUGUAAAACAAUUUGAUACCUUAAUAGGUUUAAAGUCAUAAUUGAAUACAUUUAACAUAUCACACAUCUCAGAAUUAUCCAGCUGUGAUACACUAUGAUUAUGCUAUUGUUUAAAAAUACGUAAUAUAACUUGUAGAUCUAUGAUGGUAGCCUACAGGAGAGCCCCUUAACCUUGGAACUGAUGCAGUUGGUCGGCUGCUCCACUGACCUUAGAAGAGUGAUUAAUUAAUGAUACAAAUAUCAGAGCUUCAGAAGGAUUUGCUGCUUCAACUAUCCUGGGUUCUGGCAAGCCGGAUUUGUGCCCUACUGGAGCCACGGCCGCCUGUGCUGUUUCCUCUAGCAUUUUGGAAAUAAAAUGGAAAUGGAGUCUGAGGAAGGAAUGCUUGGCUCAACAGCUCUUACCUUCAUCAACACAGUUUUUCAGGAUCAAGGUUAUGUGCAUCAGUCUAUGGAUUGGUAUAUGGAAACAUGAUUCCUGCAAAAUGUGUCAUGUGAGACGAGAAUUUCAACUUAAGCAAACACUGCACAUCAAUAUCACUGAAAAAAAGUAUGCUAGCAGGUAAUGCCAGGAGGUACUCUAACCAAGAAAGCCUGGUGAAGUUAUCUCCUCAGAAGAUAAACUGGAUAAUCAGCACCAGCUGGGGCAGAAAGGAAGGGAAGCUGGUGAAAUGAACAUGUCCACUCUGUGUCAUAGCAAUGACAGAACUUCAGCUGAUUGUUGUCUGUGAUAAAGGAGACAAAGUAUGGCCAACUUGGGUUUUGCAGAAGUCACUGGAAAUCCACAGCUUUCUAUGAAACUUCCCGAUUCUUAAAAGUCUCCAAAACAAGGUAAAAUACAUUUUCUGGCUGAAUUAUGCAGUUUGAGGUCCUAGAUCCAGAACAUGAUAUAGUAGUAAGAGGUCAGAACUGAGGCCAUAGGAAAGAGUCAUAUCUUGGAGAGUCCUGUGCAAGAUAUGUUAAGGAGAUAUAAUCAGGUUUUAGUGGAAGAUUAACUGUGACUGAUAAGAGCAAAAGAAGAAAUAAUCACUGGUCAAAUAACAAUAAGGGAGACAGGUCCUAAGUAACAGGUAAAAAAAUGUAACAUCAACAGCAAGAGAGAAAGAGAACAAGAGAGACUCCCCUUUAAAAACAAGCACAGGGAAUUUUUAGCUUUCCAGAAUCCUCUGCACUGAAUGUGCCUGGGAAUGUGCUCAAGCCUGGCA
rnacentral:lncRNA from 1 species